GACGAACGCUGGCGGCGUGCUUAACACAUGCAAGUCGAACGGAAAGGCCCUGCUUUUGUGGGGUGCUCGAGUGGCGAACGGGUGAGUAACACGUGAGUAACCUGCCCUUGACUUUGGGAUAACUUCAGGAAACUGGGGCUAAUACCGGAUAGGAGCUCCUGCUGCAUGGUGGGGGUUGGAAAGUUUCGGCGGUUGGGGUUGGACUCGCGGCUUAUCAGCUUGUUGGUGGGGUAGUGGCUUACCAAGGCUUUGACGGGUAGCCGGCCUGAGAGGGUGACCGGCCACAUUGGGACUGAGAGAGGGCCCAGACGCCUACGGGAGCCAGCAGUGGGGGAUAUUGCACAAUGGGCGGAGGCCUGAUGCAGCAUCGCCGGGUGCGGGAGGACGGCCUUCGGGGUGGAAACCGAUUUCGCCUGUGACGAAGCGUGAGGGACGGAAAUGAGGAAAGAAGCACCGGCUAACUACGU
rnacentral:rRNA from 1 species